rnacentral:lncRNA from 1 species
UAGGGUUUGAAAUAAAUAGAUGUAACUAUAAGGACACACUCAUUGCAUAAGUUCUUUCAUCUUCGUCUACAAACCGAGAUCGCAGGACUCGUUCUAGUCGAAGAAAACACAGUAAUGUAAUUUCAAACCGAGUAUUACAAUGUAGUCAGGUUCACAACCCCACAAACUAUUAACAUUCCACUUGAAAGUAAAACAUAGCUUCAGACAAAUGGCCACUGGGUCGGAUCAAUAGCCAGCAGCUCGACUUGUAUGCCAUCCAAUUCUCUCUUGAACCUGUCCUUGGAGCUUGCAUAAAUCAUCUUGUUUCUCACCCUUGCUGUGUCGGGAGACCUAUGAAUACGGUAAAGAACAUAAGCAAAUAUGACACGAAAAAUAGAGAGACGCGUUUAGGUCAUAAUAUUUACCAUCCGAUGAAGAAAAUCCUGCUUUUCUGACAAUUCUCUGCAGUCACAAAGUCAAAAUCAUAGACAGCAUAUCUGCAUUCAUUAUCAGGAAGGUUUGCAGUAAAGUCUUCGUAGCUUUCAGCUGGCCAACCGAGUUUCUCCACAAUCACCUCAUUUUUCUUCUCGUCAAUCUUGAACACUAUGAAGCGAUAUGUUCUCUUUGCCUUCAAUUCCAGAAACUUCAGCUUGCAGUCAUCAUCCACAGAAAAUCCAGACGCUGCGUUAGCCUGUUCAUAGGAUGAAACAGAAGAUAGAUGUUAUUCUUACGCAAUUUAUGUCCACAAAACCAACACACACUAGUUUUGAAACAAUAAACAUGUAUUCACUGUCCUACUCGGCCAAAAAAUAAAGCUCAGCAAUUCUAAAGAACACAAUUAAUAAUAUCUAAAAAUAGAUUGAGGAAAAGUGAGUGAGAGAGAGAAGGAACGAAUAAGGGUGAACGAGGGAUACAAAUGUGAAAGGGGUGUACGGAACGACACACAAAAUGAAAACUGAAAACAAUUUUGAAGUUGUUUUCACUUUCAAGUCUUUGUUUUCACAUAAUCUCCUUCAUUUCUCCCGUCACCCCUCCCACCACCUCCCUUCAUCCUUUCCAUUCCUCAUUUCUCCCAUAUACUCUCCCUCUACAUAAGCACAAAAAAUGAAAACUAAAAACUGAAAACAAAAUGGUUAUCAAACGGGGCAUAAAGGUUGCAAGCCUCCUUCCCUCCCAUCCGUCCUCCUCUUUUUCCUCUCCCUCUUUCUCUCAUUCUAGAGGUUCUAUCUCACCUAAUUUCUUAAAAAGUAGUACGUCAUGAAUACAUGAUACAACUUGAAUCCCUUCGAUUUAAGCCUGUACUAUGCAGGUUGGCCUAGAGAUUAUAUAUCUAAACCAAAGACCAGCAAUCUGAAACCGAGAAUGUUCAGCAUAAGGCUACUUGAGGUACGUUUCUUCCUUAGUUUACCUUCAGCCCUAGAUUACAGACUGCCCAUUACCGAUUUCCAUACAGUCCGCACUAGUGCUAUACUUGCAAGAAUAAGAUAAACACAAUUCAGCAUCGCAACAUCCGUAAGUAAUCAGAUUGCAUCACUCAAAUUAGUUCUUAUCUGUGAUCAGCUGGUUGACAUUGUUCCAGUACCGAGCACUUGAAUCCCGGCUCUCGAUCAAUUAACAGAAAACCAAAUGCGGGAGAUUUGACAUUGUGAGAAUCUAAAACAGCUUUCUAAUCAGAUUUAAAUCUCAAUGCAUCCAAAAAUUGACAACCACGUCAACUGUUAGACUAAUGGAAUCGGUGCAACGCAACUCUGUUCAAAUUUCACAAUAAACAAAACAGAUACCAGAAGACCAAAUAUAUAUAAAAAAACCACAAACCCACCACAAAGAACCAACCCAGAACUCAAAAGAUGAGGACUAUAUCUAUAUGUAUGUGAUCAAAGCUAAUACCUUCGUCUACUGACAACUAAAUGACACAAAAAUCAAAACAAAACCCAAAUUCAGAUCCGAUGAUCGAUAACAAUCGAUUGAAACAAGUGCAUCCAAAGCCCAUCGCAGAUGAUAACGAAGCGAUCAGAUCAUAACCCAAAACCCAUUAAACAGCCGAAAUAAGAGAAACAAUAAUAAUUAAAAAAAAAUACAAAAAGCAAUGCGCAGGGAAAGAGAAGCAGCAAAGAGAUACCGACCAUUGCGGUUGCAGAAAAAUCUAUCCCAAAACGAAAAGGAGCUGAGUUGCUGCGACUAUGGCAGAAAAUGGAGGACUGAUUGCUCUCUGGCGUUUGGUGUGCGCUUUGAAUGGCUUUUGCUGCCGAGACGGUGGUGGUUGUUGUGGCUUCUCUUUCACCCACCUUCCCACUCCCCCUCUAAAUAUCAUCAUGGAGGGCAUGUCAUGCGUGAAAACGGCGCAAGGAGAAGGUAGGUCUGUCCUAUCAUGGCUUGACGCGUGUGGAUCAGGGUUGCGAAAAGACUGAUAGGCCCUUGGCUUUUGUGGCGGGUCUUCCGACUUGCCCACCCAGCUGGAAAAUCGAGGCUCCUUUUUAUUGGCGGACUCAAAGUGAAUAAAACUUAAAGAAAACUAAUGAAAAAGGUUUGAAAACUUUGAAUUUUAACGAUAAGGACAAAAUAAAGGGUAAAGUGAAUAGUAACAUGAUUGACUUUUUUAUGUAAAAAUGUGGUUUUUCGUUAAAAUGAAUAGUACCGGGAGCUUUUCGUUAAAGUUCCCUAAAAUUUACCAUUUCAGGGGUAAUUAAUAAUCACUUACGGGUGGGCAUUUUUAAUGGGUCAACUGCAUGCGACAUGGGUUGAGUUAUUAUAGCAUUCUGUUAUAAUGGCUACAUGAGCAACUUGAGGUGAGGGCAUGGGCUUGAUACCACUCAGUCGAGCAAAAGUACUUUCCAUUAUAACAGCAUUCUGACAAUUUAUUCUUAUCUAUUAUAGAAAACAUUUAUCAUCUUAUAGUAAAUGUUUUCUAUAAUUGUUGAGGCCUCCAGAAGCACUUUUAAUUGUAAUCUGUCAUUCCAUGUUGGCUCAUGAAUUGCAUUGCUGCAUUUUUGCAUUGAUUUGGAUGAAAUGUGUAAAAAAACACAAAAAACCCCCAAAAAAAAAACAGUAACGGGUGAAAUGGGUGAUCCGUUAACUUAACGGGUUGGAUUUGGGUGACCCAUUAACUUAACGGGUUGGAUUUGGAUAACCCGUUAGCUUAACGGAUCAAGUUAAAUCCGACUCAAACCUAAUAAAUCCGACCCGUUUACAGGAUUAGUUAGUAGUCCAAGUUCCAACAGACUUGGUGGAGCCACCGAAUCGCCCUCCAUCGUUUGGGCCGGUGGAGAGGUUUUGGGCACUUUGGCAGCCUUUCUCUCCCCGCUGGAACUGCUCGAACGAGUCGUAAGAAACACAAAUGCUUUCAUAUUUUGUGUAUUUUGCGUGCAAAGCCUCAUUAAUUCACAGCCUACUCGUACUCAUCCUCCACCGUUAAAUCAUAACAGGCACACAAAAGAAUGAUUAGCUUCUAGAUGUAACUAUAAGGACACACUCAUUGCAUAAGUUCUUUCAUCUCCGUCCACAAACCGAGAUCGCAGGACUCGUUCUAGUCGAAGAAAACACAGUAAUGUAAAUUUCAAACCGAGUAUUACAAUGUAGUCAGGUUCACAACCCCACACACUAUUAACAUUCCACUUGAAAGUAAAACAGAGCUUGAGAAAAAUGGCCAUAACAGAGACCAGGCUUCUUAGUUUGCACGACUUUUGAUAACAUCGAGGCCUAUCUCAGUCGGAUCAGUAGCCUGCAGCUCGACUUGUAUGCCAUCCAAUUCUCUCUUGAACCUGUCCUUGGAGCUUGCAUAAAUCAUCUUGUUUCUCACCCUUGCUGUGUCGGGAGACCUAUGAAUACGAAGAAC